UUAGUCAGAUUAGCUUUUUCG
rnacentral:piRNA from 1 species